rnacentral:lncRNA from 1 species
UGGCAUAAGUUGGAAUUGUUGCCAUCAGAGUGCAAGUGUGCCAGCUCGGUACAGUCAAAUAAUCAACCAGCGCCAUUAACGAUCACACAUAAAUCCAAAGGAUGAGCACCAGAUUUUUUUUUGUGCUAGCACGCAUAGCAUUCAGCAGCUUCCAGUCGGUGUACAGCAACAACAAUUGAUUAAAAAAGCAAUAGCAAGCAACAAAUCCCCACUGAGCGCCCAGUGACUGCCCCUCCUACACUUCGCCAUUCAUCUCGUCCUCACCACCCAGCGCCGAUCUUCCCCCUCCUCUACCUCACCAUCAAGCGCUCCUCCUCCUUCUCUUCUCCAUCCACCUCACCACCCAGCCACUUCCCGGCUGCCAAAGGUGGCGCGGGAAAUUCUGGCAGCGCCGGUGUGUGUGUUUGCUGCUGCGGCUGGGGUGGCGGCGGCCUGAUCGUCGGCUCACGGGGGCCGGAGCGGAGUACCGCUGCCGUGGUGGUGGAGCCCCUCCCGGUGGGUGGCUGGGAGCGACGGCGGGCUGCAGGGCUGGCGUGCAGUGGCGGCUCGGUUGCUCGCCAGAUCUGGCAGCCGGCCAGCACGCUCGGGGGCUGGUUGGACCUAUGGCGGAGGCGAGGGAGGAGGUCUGGUGGUGCUGCUCGUCUGCCGGUGGCGGAAGGAUUCUGGGGCGGCUUGGGUGAAAUCACCAAGUUUUCUCUUCCGUGAGCUCUUCUCUGUACCAUCGUUGGCCAUCUCUGUAUGAAUCAAUAUGGCAAAAUUAGCUCGACCUAUCUAUUAGGCUGGGCACACCAUGGCUGCACCAAUUUUUUCUGUAUCCCCAGGUCGGCUCUUCUCCUUCUUUAGGAUUAUUAUAGCUCAAAUGGCAUCUCCAAUUAUUUCUGUGUAUCUUUGGAUCGGCUAAUUUUUUUCUGUGUAUCUUCAGAUCAGCCCUCUCUCCUUCUUUAGGAUUAUUAGGACUUGGGGUAGGCGUAGGCGCUGGGACCGGCGGCGAGCGGCGGCAUGGUAAGGGUGCGGCGCGCUAGAGGUGGAAGAUGGGAUUGGAUCGUGGGUCGUGCGGCUAGGUGAGCUCGUUUUUUAUGUUCUGGCGCUCGUACGUUUUGGUCAUCUGGACUGUGCGGGUUGGUUCUCAUCCUCGCUUCUCUCUCUGUUUUUUCAGAGAGCCGCCAUCCUCCCAGCAAGGCUAGGACCGGCGGAGGCCGAGCGGCGGACUGGUUUGGUUUGUGGUGGUCGUCGACUUGCCGGAGAGGGGCGAGGUGGUGGUCCUCGACUCGCCGAAGAGGGAGGGGGGAGGAGGAGCUGCGGCACGGUCGUCGGGUGAUGGGGUGCGAUGGUGGCGGUUGAGAGGACAGGAUAAGGAAGGGACGUGCGGCUGGUGUUUUCGCUAGCGAAUCAUUAUUUUACAGUAGGUGUGGAUUGCGGGUUGAUUUUAUGUAAACCGAGGGGCUUUCUUGAAAAACUGCCAUGAUGACGGACGACCAGGAAUUAAACCCUAUUUUCUUUAUUAUUAGGUAAAGAUUUGGUAGUUCAAGUUGUGAUCUAUCUCUACUAUUCUUGACCUCCAAGAUUUGUAUCUUAUAUAAACAGCCCUUCGAGACCCUAAUACAUAUUCAGAAUCUCAUAAUCUUCAUGGUAUCCGUCGCCUAGGUUAUCUCCUCGAUAUGUCUC